AAUCUGCAUGGCUGAUGCACUGCUCCACAAACUGGUCUGAGCUGCUGGACCCACGGAAGCUGCAAAGGGAAAUGACCAUGUCGACCAGGAUGAUACAACAGAGAAAACUCUCAAGAAAAGCUUAAGAAGUUGAACCAAAGAGGAGUAGUAGAGACAGAAGAUCCCGAAAGAAAA